AUACGUAUGUCGCAAGCGUUAUCCGGAAUUAUUGGGCGUAAAGCGAGUCUAGGCGGCUUGUUAAGUCAGAUGUGAAAAUGCGGGGCUCAACUCCGUAUUGCGUUUGAAACUGGCAGGCUAGAGUACUGAAGAGGUGGGCGGAACUACAAGUGUAGAGGUGAAAUUCGUAGAUAUUUGUAGGAAUGCCGAUAGUGAAGACAGCUCACUGGACAGAUACUGACGCUAAAGCUCGAAAGCGUGGGGAGCGAACAGAAUUAGAAACCCUGGUAGUCC
rnacentral:rRNA from 1 species